GGGUUGUGAGGUUAAGCGACUAAGCGUACACGGUGGAUGCCCUGGCAGUCAGAGGCGAUGAAGGGCGUGCUAAUCUGCGAUAAGCGCCGGUAAGGUGAUAUGAACCGUUAUAACCGGCGAUACCCGAAUGGGGAAACCCAGUGUGACUCGUCACACUAUCAUUAACUGAAUCCAUAGGUUAAUGAGGCGAACCGGGGGAACUGAAACAUCUAAGUACCCCGAGGAAAAGAAAUCAACCGAGAUUCCCCCAGUAGCGGCGAGCGAACGGGGAGGAGCCCAGAGCCUGAAUCAGCAUGUGUGUUAGUGGAAGCGUCUGGAAAGACGCGCGAUACAGGGUGACAGCCCCGUACACAAAAGCGCAUGUGUUGUGAGCUCGAUGAGUAGGGCGGGACACGUGGUAUCCUGUCUGAAUAUGGGGGGACCAUCCUCCAAGGCUAAAUACUCCUGACUGACCGAUAGUGAACCAGUACCGUGAGGGAAAGGCGAAAAGAACCCCGGCGAGGGGAGUGAAAAAGAACCUGAAACCGUGUACGUACAAGCAGUGGGAGCACAGGUUUACCUGUGUGACUGCGUACCUUUUGUAUAAUGGGUCAGCGACUUAUAUUCUGUAGCAAGGUUAACCGAAUAGGGGAGCCGGAGGGAAACCGAGUCUUAAUUGGGCGUUAAGUUGCAGGGUAUAGACCCGAAACCCGGUGAUCUAGCCAUGGGCAGGUUGAAGGUUGGGUAACACUAACUGGAGGACCGAACCGACUAAUGUUGAAAAAUUAGCGGAUGACCUGUGGCUGGGGGUGAAAGGCCAAUCAAACCGGGAGAUAGCUGGUUCUCCCCGAAAGCUAUUUAGGUAGCGCCUCGUGAACUCAUCUCCGGGGGUAGAGCACUGUUUCGGCUAGGGGGCCAUCCCGGCUUACCAACCCGAUGCAAACUGCGAAUACCGGAGAAUGUUAUCACGGGAGACACACGGCGGGUGCUAACGUCCGUCGUGAAGAGGGAAACAACCCAGACCGCCAGCUAAGGUCCCAAAGUCAUGGUUAAGUGGGAAACGAUGUGGGAAGGCCCAGACAGCCAGGAUGUUGGCUUAGAAGCAGCCAUCAUUUAAAGAAAGCGUAAUAGCUCACUGGUCGAGUCGGCCUGCGCGGAAGAUGUAACGGGGCUAAAUCAUGCACCGAAGCUGCGGCAGCGACACUCAGGUGUUGUUGGGUAGGGGAGCGUUCUGUAAGCCUGUGAAGGUGUGUCGUGAGGCAUGCUGGAGGUAUCAGAAGUGCGAAUGCUGACAUAAGUAACGAUAAAGCGGGUGAAAAGCCCGCUCG
rnacentral:rRNA from 1 species